CAAAUGAAUUGACGGGGCCCGCACAAGCGGUGGAGCAUGUGGUUAAUUCGACGCAACGCGAAGAACCUUACCAGGGCUUGACAUCCCCUGACCGCGUAUGAAAGUACGUUUUCACCCUCGGGUGACAGGGAGACAGGUGGUGCAUGGUUGUCGUCAGCUCGUGUCGUGAGAUGUUGGGUUAAGUCCCGCAACGAGCGCAACCCCUACGUUUAGUUGCUAACGCGUGAAGGCGAGCACUCUAGACGAACUGCCGUUGACAAAACGGAGGAAGGUGGGAUGACGUCAAAUCAUCAUGCCCCUUAUGUUCUGGGCUACACACGUGCUACAAUGGCCGGUACAGACGGACGCAAAGCCGCGAGGUGGAGCAAAUCCUAAAAAGCCGGUCUCAGUUCGGAUUGCAGGCUGCAAUUCGCCUGCAUGAAGUCGGAAUCGCUAGUAAUCGCAGGUCAGCAUACUGCGGUGAAUACGUUCCCGGGCCUU
rnacentral:rRNA from 1 species